UACGUAGGGUGCAAGCGUUGUCCGGAAUUACUGGGCGUAAAGGGCUCGUAGGCGGCCAACUAAGUCAUACGUGAAAUCCCUCAGCUUAACUGGGGAACUGCGUGUGAUACUGGAUGGCUUGGAUUUGGGAGAGGGAUGCGGAAUUCCAGGUGUAGCGGUGAAAUGCGUAGAUAUCUGGAGGAACACCGGUGGCGAAGGCGGCAUCCUGGACCGGCAUUGACGCUGAUGAGCGAAAGCUAGGGGAGCAAACGGG
rnacentral:rRNA from 1 species